rnacentral:rRNA from 1 species
UCCGCACGAGCGCACCCUUGUCAUUAGUUGCUACGAAAGGGCACUCUAAUGAGACUGCCGGUGACAAACCGGAGGAAGGUGGGGAUGACGUCAAGUCCUCAUGGCCCUUAUGGGUAGGGCUUCACACGUCAUACAAUGGUCGGUACAGAGGGUUGCCAAGCCGCGAGGUGGAGCCAAUCCCAGAAAACCGAUCGUAGUCCGGAUCGCAGUCUGCAACUCGACUGCGUGAAGUCGGAAUCGCUAGUAAUCGCGGAUCAGAAUGCCGCGGUGAAUACGUUCCCGGGUCUUGUACACACCGCCCGUCACACCAUGGGAGUGGGUUCUACCAGAAGUGGCUAGUCUAACCGCAAGGAGGACGGUCACCACGGUAGGAUUCAUGACUGGGGUGAAGUCGUAACAAGGUAGCCGUAUCGGAAGGUGCGGCUGGAUCA